GUCUGCUAGCGUGUGUGUCAGGCUCACAGCGUAUACUGUGCCCACUUGCCCAGUGCCACCACUCAUAUCCGGUGUCACAAUAGCUUGCAUUUAACAAAAAAAACUUUUUGGACUGUGUCACGAGCGUGGGCUAUAGGCCCAGCCGAGACAGUGGGGAGAGUGUGGAAGUGACAGGGUUAAUGACACCAGACCCCUGGUUACCUGUUGCUAGUCCCAGCAACCACUCAAUUAACCCCUGCAAUCCCUUCUACACUAUCCCCCUUAGUACUACUGCCACCACCAAGACUUUUAAACCCGGGUGUCUUAGGUUACCCCACACACAGGAGAAUUAUAG